rnacentral:rRNA from 1 species
GACGAACGCUGGCGGCGUGCUUAACACAUGCAAGUCGAACGGAAAGGCCCUGCUUUUGUGGGGUGCUCGAGUGGCGAACGGGUGAGUAACACGUGAGUAACCUGCCCUUGACUUUGGGAUAACUUCAGGAAACUGGGGCUAAUACCGGAUAGGAGCUCCUGCUGCAUGGUGGGGGUUGGAAAGUUUCGGCGGUUGGGGAUGGACUCGCGGCUUAUCAGCUUGUUGGUGGGGUAGUGGCUUACCAAGGCUUUGACGGGUAGCCGGCCUGAGAGGGUGACCGGCCACAUUGGGACUGAGAUACGGACCGGACUCCUACGGGAGGCAGCAGUGGGGAAUAUUGCACAAUGGGCGGAAGCCUGAUGCAGCAACGCCGCGUGCGGGAUGACGGCCUUCGGGUUGUAAACCGCUUUCGCCUGUGACGAAGCGUGAGUGACGGUAAUGGGUAAAGAAGCACCGGCUAACUACGUG